rnacentral:rRNA from 1 species
AUUGAACGCUGGCGGCAUGCUUUACACAUGCAAGUCGAACGGUAACAGGCCGCAAGGUGCUGACGAGUGGCGAACGGGUGAGUAAUGCAUCGGAACGUGCCCAGUCGUGGGGGAUAACUACUCGAAAGAGUAGCUAAUACCGCAUACGACCUAUGGAUGAAAGCGGGGGACCGAAAGGCCUCGCGCGAUUGGAGCGGCCGAUGUCAGAUUAGGUAGUUGGUGGGGUAAAGGCUCACCAAGCCAACGAUCUGUAGCUGGUCUGAGAGGACGACAAGCCACACUGGGACUGAGACACGGCCCAGACUCCUACGGGAGGCAGCAGUGGGGAAUUUUGGACAAUGGGCGCAAGCCUGAUCCAGCAAUGCCGCGUGCAGGAAGAAGGCCUUCGGGUUGUAAACUGCUUUUGUACGGAACGAAACGGCUCUGGUUAAUACCCGGGGCUAAUGACGGUACCGUAAGAAUAAGCACCGGCUAACUACGUG